GGAUUGUAGCUCAGUGGUAGAGUGCUUGCCUUGCAUUCGUGAGGGCCUGGGUUCAAUCCUCAGCACCA
rnacentral:tRNA from 1 species